rnacentral:misc_RNA from 1 species
CGCACCUUGCGCUCCUUGGUAUUCCGAGGAGCAUGCCUGUUUGAGUGUCUUGAAAUCAUCAGGCCCCGGAUUCGCGUCCGGAGGCUUGGACUUGGGGGAUUUUUGCUGCCUUUUCGGCGGCUCCCCUUAAAUGCAUCGGUUGUGGCCCGUCCGGCUUCAGUCCUCGGCGUUGUAUUGCCCUCGCCCCGCGUCUUGUCGGCAGCGCCCUUCCCCGACCGCCUUUGGAGCGGCGGUCAACAACAUUUGAAAUCUGACCUCAAAUCAGGUAGGACUACCCGCUGAACUUAA